AUACGUAGGGUGCGAGCGUUGUCCGGAAUUACUGGGCGUAAAGAGCUCGUAGGCGGUUUGUCGCGUCGUCUGUGAAAUUCCGGGGCUUAACUCCGGGCGUGCAGGCGAUACGGGCAUAACUUGAGGACUGUAGGGGAGACUGGAAUUCCUGGUGUAGCGGUGAAAUGCGCAGAUAUCAGGAGGAACCCCGGUGGCGAAGGGGGGUCUCUGGGCAGUAACUGACGCUGAGGAGCGAAAGCAUGGGUAGCGAACAGGAUUAGAUACCCUGGUAGUCCAUGCCGUAAACGGUGGGCGCUAGGUGUAGGGGUCUUCCACGACUUCUGUGCCGUAGCUAACGCAUUAAGCGCCCCGCCUGGGGAGUACGGCCGCAAGGCUAAAACUCAAAGGAAUUGACGGGG
rnacentral:rRNA from 1 species